rnacentral:piRNA from 1 species
UGUCAGUGGCUCUUGGAUCACUCUAGUUUUC